rnacentral:rRNA from 1 species
GAUGAACGCUAGCGGCAGGCCUAAUACAUGCAAGUCGAACGGGAUCCAGAUCAAAGCUUGCUUUGGUUUGGUGAGAGUGGCGUACGGGUGCGUAACGCGUGAGCAACCUACCCUUGUCAGGGGGAUAGCCCGGCGAAAGUCGGAUUAAUACCGCAUGACAUCAUUGAGAGGCAUCUUUCGAUGAUCAAAGAUUUAUCGGACAAGGAUGGGCUCGCGUGACAUUAGCUAGUUGGUAAGGUAACGGCUUACCAGGGCUACGAUGUCUAGGGGCUCUGAGAGGAGAAUCCCCCACACUGGUACUGAGACACGGACCAGACUCCUACGGGAGGCAGCAGUAAGGAAUAUUGGUCAAUGGACGGAAGUCUGAACCAGCCAUGCCGCGUGCAGGAAGACGGCCCUAUGGGUUGUAAACUGCUUUUAUACGGGAACAAACGUCGGUACGUGUACCGGUCUGAGUGUACCGUAAGAAUAAGGAUCGGCUAACUCCGUG